CGGCACUAUCCUGUACUCUCCGAACCAACAGGAAGGGUGUGGAUGGGCUCCUGAAGCUCCCUCUCCCCAGGAUCAGCUCACCCCCACGCACAUGGAUGGGUAACGUGCUCCCUGCUCGGCCAAGCUCUCAUGCUUACCAGAUUUCCUCUUUGGUGGAAUAUCUGGGUUUCCAAUUAUCCCCACUCCCUGUCUCAGCUCCUUGGGUCCUACCCAAACGCCCACCUUCACGGCUAUGUGUGUUUCAGCUCUGGAAGUGGGGAUGCCUUUUGCAGACAGGGGUGAGAUGCUGCUACCUUGUCCCUUGCCGGAUGCUCACUGCUCAGACUGCCCCAUGGAGAACAGCCCAGGAAACCCACCCCACGUCCCACGCAGGUACAGGGCCCAGGGUGCCUAUGGAGGAGUUUAUGACCCCUGCUUCUUCCCAUGGAAAGAAUGCAAAGCCUCCAGCAGGGUUCACCAUGGUGGAUGUCUCCAAGCCGCCUCACCCUCAGGCUGUAACACAGCACUGGGGAUUGAACCCCAACAAACAGCACAGGAAAGGGCUGCAGGUGGGCGCAGGCAGGAUAUCCUGCUACUCGUGGUGUUCUGCUCUCUUUGCAUUGCUGCAGCCUUUGUUUUCCUGCACAGCCGCUUGCCAAAUAUUGCGCUUUGCCUCCUUGCUCCUCAUUGCCCUGCUGCCCCAACCCAGCAGCCCCUGCUGCUUCCCAGCCUCCAGAAACAGCCCCCCGGGAGGAGCCUGGCGGCACCAGGACCAGGACGCCUGCCUGUUCCCACCACACAGGCUGCCAGUGCUGGCAGCCACGGUUCACGGGGUCUGCAGGCGCCAGCACAUGGGCCAUGGCUUCUGGGGACACUGGCAGCCAGGGACACGCUGCUGCUCACAGCCACUGCGCAGGAGGGGGAGGCGGAGGCAGGCCAAGCGUGUCGGAGCGCUGCUGGAGACAUCGGCAUUUCCAGCCCCCCCCCCCCCUUCACCGAAAGGAGGGGAAAACAGCCCCGUCAUCCCGCAGGGUUGCCAGGGUGACAUUUGUUGGCUGCUGUGCUAUCCCAGCCGCUGAGCUGCUGAGGGCGGUGCGCAGGGAUCCAGCACAGCCCCUCCAUCCAGACGAUGGCACUGGGGUGCCAACAUAGAGGCCACCCAGCGGUACAGGGUGCGAGGGAACAGUGGGGCCCUGGAGGAGCCAUGUGGAGAGAAGAAAUGCCAAAACUUUGC
ensembl:lncRNA